rnacentral:rRNA from 1 species
UACGUAGGGGGCAAGCGUUGUCCGGAAUCAUUGGGCGUAAAGAGCGUGUAGGCGGCCCGGUAAGUCCGCUGUGAAAGUCGGGGGCUCAACCCUCGAAUGCCGGUGGAUACUGUCGGGCUAGAGUGCGGAAGAGGCGAGUGGAAUUCCUGGUGUAGCGGUGAAAUGCGCAGAUAUCAGGAGGAACACCGAUUGCGAAGGCAGCUCGCUGGGACGUCACUGACGCUGAGACGCGAAAGCGUGGGGAGCAAACAGG